AGUGAACGCUGGCGGUAGGCCUAACACAUGCAAGUCGAACGGCAGCACAGGAGAGCUUGCUCUCUGGGUGGCGAGUGGCGGACGGGUGAGGAAUACAUCGGAAUCUACUCUGUCGUGGGGGAUAACGUAGGGAAACUUACGCUAAUACCGCAUACGACCUACGGGUGAAAGCAGGGGAUCUUCGGACCUUGCGCGAUUGAAUGAGCCGAUGUCGGAUUAGCUAGUUGGCGGGGUAAGGGCCCACCAAGGCGACGAUCCGUAGCUGGUCUGAGAGGAUGAUCAGCCGCACUGGAACUGAGACACGGUCCAGACUCCUACGGGAGGCAGCAGUGGGGAAUAUUGGACAAUGGGGGCAAGCCUGAUCCAGCCAUACCGCGUGGGUGAAGAAGGCCUUCGGGUUGUAAAGCCCUUUUGUUGGGAAAGAAAUCCAGCUGGCUAAUACCCGGUUGGGAUGACGGUACCCAAAGAAUAAGCACCGGCUAACUUCGUGCCAGCAGCCGCUGUAA
rnacentral:rRNA from 1 species